GGCCUUGUACACACCGCCGUCACACCAUGGGAGUGGGCUGCAAAAGAAGUAGGUAGUUUAACCUUCGGGAGGACGCUUACCACUUUGUGGUUCAUGACUGGGGUGAAGUCGUAACAAGGUAGCGCUAGGGGAACCUGGCGCUGGAUCACCUCCUUA
rnacentral:rRNA from 1 species